rnacentral:rRNA from 1 species
UGGGAAUUUGGACAAUGGGCGAAAGCCUGAUCCAGCAAUGCCGCGUGUGUGAAGAAGGCCUUCGGGUUGUAAAGCACUUUUGUCCGGAAAGAAAUCCUUGGCUCUAAUACAGUCGGGGGAUGACGGUACCGGAAGAAUAAGCACCGGCUAACUACGUGCCAGCAGCCGCGGUAAUACGUAGGGUGCAAGCGUUAAUCGGAAUUACUGGGCGUAAAGCGUGCGCAGGCGGUUUGCUAAGACCGAUGUGAAAUCCCCGGGCUCAACCUGGGAACUGCAUUGGUGACUGGCAGGCUAGAGUAUGGCAGAGGGGGGUAGAAUUCCACGUGUAGCAGUGAAAUGCGUAGAGAUGUGGAGGAAUACCGAUGGCGAAGGCAGCCCCCUGGGCCAAGUACUGACGCUCAUGCACGAAAAGCGUGGGGAGAUAACGGAUUUAAUACCCUGGUAGUCCACG